ACCGGCGGGUCGCGCGCGCGGGCUCGGGGAGGAUUCCCGGUUCUCGGCAGGGGAAAUACCCACUUUCGAAGCCGCUCCUUUGCGCCCUAAAACAAGUAGCCCCAACGUGAGAGAAACAAAAGGUCACAAGCCUUUUAUUUGAAGAGGAAAGCCCAGAGAGUCUGAGAUAAGAGAAAAUAAUUCUUGCUUAAGUUCAGAGAAAAUAUAAAACUAGUAAAAAUAGCAGGCUUUGUGUUUUCGAAUACAAAAAUUCGUUGUACAUCAA